CAGACCUCUAAUCGGAAAAGAUACCCGC
rnacentral:rRNA from 1 species